CCAAUAGCGUAUAUUAAAGUUGCUGCAGUUAAAAAGCUCGUAGUUGAAUUUCGGGACCAAUAUGUCGGUCGUGCCUCGGUACGUACUGGCAUCGUUGGUUUCUCCCUUCUGACGAACCAUGAUGUCAUUCAUUUGGUGUCGUGGGGAAUCAGGACUGUUACUUUGAGAAAAUUAGAGUGUUUAAAGCAGGCUCACGCUUGAAUACAUUAGCAUGGAAUAAUGAAAUAGGACGUUUGAUUCUAUUUUGUUGGUUUCUAGGAUCGACGUAAUGAUUAAUAGGGAUAGUUGGGGGCAUUAGUAUUCAAUUGUCAGAGGUGAAAUUCUUGGAUUUAUUGAAGACUAACUACUGCGAAAGCAUUUGCCAAGGAUGUUUUCAUUAAUCAAGAACGAAAGUUAGGGGAUCGAAGACGUUCAGAUACCGUCGUAGUCUUAACCAUAAACUAUGCCGACUAGGGAUCGGAUGAUGUUAAUUUUUUAAUGACUCAUUCGGCGCCUUACG
rnacentral:rRNA from 1 species